GGAGGGGGGCCAGCGUUGUUCGGAAUUAUUGGGCGUAAAGGGCGCGUAGGCGGUCGUGCAAGUCGGUUGUGAAAUCCCCUGGGCUCACCCAGGGAACUGCUUCCGAAACUGCACGACUUGAGUCCCGGGAGAGGAGAGUGGAAUUCCCAGUGGAGCGGUGGAAUGCGUAGAUAUUGGGAGGAACACCGGUGGCGAAGGCGGCUCUCUGGACCGGUACUGACGCUGAGGCGCGAAAGCUAGGGGAGCAAACAGGAUUAGAUACCCUGGUAGUCCUAGCUGUAAACGAUGGGCACUUGGUGUUGCGGGUAUUGACCCCUGCAGUGCCGGAGCUAACGCGAUAAGUGCCCCGCCUGGGGAGUACGGUCGCAAAGGCUG
rnacentral:rRNA from 1 species